UCCUUACAGAACUCAUUCAGAAAGAGGAGAGGCCAGCAUGAUGGCUCACACCUGUAAUCCCAGCUAUACAGAAGGCUGAAGACCAAGGAUUGCUUGAGGCCAGGAGUUUGAGACCAGCCUGGGCAACAUGAAAGUGACAAGCUGAUUCACAGCCAGGCACAGUGGCUCACACCUGUAAUCCCAGCACUUUGGGAGGCUGAGGCACGUGGAUCACUUGAGGUCAGGAGUUCAAGACCAGCCUGGCCAACAUGGUGAAACCCCUUCUCUAUAAAUAUAAAAAAUUAGCUGGGCAUGGUGGCGCACGCCUGUAAUCCCAGUUACUCAGGAGGCUGAGGCACGAGAAUAGCUUGAACCCAAAAAGCGGAGGUUGCAGUGAACCAAGAUCACAUCACUGGACUCCAGCCUGAGCAACAGAGUGAGACUCUGUCUCAAAACAAAACAAAACAGGAUGUACUACUAUUAUUAGUAUUAGACUUAAAAAAAAAGUGACAAGCUGAUUCUAAAAAUGCAAGGAACCUAGAAUAGCCAAAAUAGUACUGAAAAAAAGAACAAAGUUGGCAAGCUCAUACUUCCUGGCAUCAAAACUUACUGAAAAUCUACAGCAAUCACAACAAUGUGCUACUGGCAUAAGGACAUACAGAUUAAUGGACUACAACUAACAGUCCAGAAAUAAACAUUUAUAGUCACUG